rnacentral:tRNA from 1 species
CCGCCCUUAGCUCAGCUGGUUAGAGCAACGAGCUUAUACCUCGUAGGUCCUUGGUUCGAGUCCAAGAGGGCGGA